rnacentral:ncRNA from 2 species
CUUUGUGUUCCUUGCCUUGGCGUCUAUUGAUGUGGGGGCUGGAGCUUAAAAGGGAAUCGAGUGCGAAUCUCGGACAGUCCCGCUGCUGUGUACGAUCGUCAAGCCUUUGGUCGAGUCGAUACCACUGGUAGUUCUGUGCUACUGGGAAGGUAGACCGAGGCGAGAUUGUGAGUCAGAAGACCUGCAAAGCUAUUAAAGGCUUC